UACGAAGGGUGCAAGCGUUAAUCGGAAUUACUGGGCGUAAAGGGCGCGUAGGCGGUUCGUUAAGUCUGUCGUGAAAUCCCCGGGCUCAACCUGGGAAUGGCGAUGGAUACUGGCGAGCUAGAGUGUGUCAGAGGAUGGUGGAAUUCCCGGUGUAGCGGUGAAAUGCGUAGAGAUCGGGAGGAACAUCAGUGGCGAAGGCGGCCAUCUGGGACAACACUGACGCUGAAGAACGAAAGCGUGGGGAGCAAACAGG
rnacentral:rRNA from 1 species